rnacentral:rRNA from 1 species
ACUUUCAGUAGGGAGGAAGGUGGUAGUGUUAAUAGCGCUAUCAUUUGACGUUACCUACAGAAAGAAGCACCGGCUAACUCCGUGCCAGCAGCCGCGGUAAUACGGAGGGUGCGAGCGUUAAUCGGAAUUACUGGGCGUAAAGCGCAUGCAGGUGGUUUGUUAAGUCAGAUGUGAAAGCCCCGGGCUCAACCUGGGAAUUGCAUUUGAAACUGGCAAACUAGAGUACUGUAGAGGGGGGUAGAAUUUCAGGUGUAGCGGUGAAAUGCGUAGAGAUCUGAAGGAAUACCGGUGGCGAAGGCGGCCCCCUGGACAGAUACUGACACUCAGAUGCGAAAGCGUGGGGAGCAAACAGGAUUAGAUACCCUGGUAGUCCACGCCGUAAACGAUGUCUACUUGGAGGUUGUGGCCUUGAGCCGUGGCUUUCGGAGCUAACGCGUUAAGUAGACCGCCUGGGGAGUACGGUCGCAAGAUUAAAACUCAAAUGAAUUGACGGGGGCCCGCACAAGCGGUGGAGCAUGUGGUUUAAUUCGAUGCAACGCGAAGAACCUUACCUACUCUUGACAUCCAGUGAAUCCAGCGGAGACGCAGGUGUGCCUUCGGGAGCU